GGCAGGAUAUCUCAGUUGGUUAGAGAGCACGGCUCAUACCCGUGAUGUCGUGGGUUCGAGUCCCACUCCUGCCACCA
rnacentral:tRNA from 1 species